CUUUGACUCAAUUUGAGGUAAUUCUGAAGAACCAUGCCAGUUUCAGAACUCCCCACAGGGUUGGCUGAGGCCCCUGUUGUCACUGCCUCUCAACUCAACUCCUCCCUUUGCCCAGUCCUGCUUCUCUUAUCUCUGAAAAUUUCUAAUCAUAAGGACACCUUCCCAUAUAAAAAAAAAAAAAAAAAAAACCCUGAGAAUCUGGCCUAAGAAAUACAUUGUUUUUAAAUUAACUGAUAAUUUUACAUAAUGCUUCUGAAAUAAUGUGGGAAAAUAUUGUUCUUUUAUCAGCUGCUACAUCAGAAUCACGCCUCACAAUAGGCAAAUGUUAAAAAUCCCUUGGAAGUGUGAAUUCCUUAGAGGUGUGGCUGAGAGCCUCAAAUGUCAUGGCUGAUUAUCACAAAUUGUGAUCACUAAUUGGCUGAGAUAUUAAAGGACAUUCAAGGACUGGGGAGAGCUUGGUGAGAUUCAAUGCCAUAUGUAGGAAGAACCGAAAGAAGACCUUGGACUAUUGGGCAACAGAGAAAGGAAAGGGAGGAACUUGAAGAAAAACGACCCUGGCAGGAAUUGAAGGAGGAAAGACUGGUAACUGAAUCGGAGGGCAAAAGACUAGUAACAAGAAGAGUGGGUGUGAGAUGGUGGUACAGAUUCAGGCACCAGACAAUGAAGACCCGAAUGAAGGCAGAGUCACUGCCUGCUAUGCUCACAGCAUUGAUUUAUUGACAUAUGGCUGAGAGGUGUUGCCAUUAAUGAAGCUUCGGCCUGCUGGAUGAUGCCAGCCUAAACUUUUCAGCAGGGUAAAACUUCUGGCUCUUGAAUCUGGGAUCAAGACCAACAGCUUCCACAUAGAAAAUGCUACUAACACAAAAGAGAAGCACUCUGCAAAAAUCAACCAUGAAGACUCAAGUUAAGUACAAAUAUUGCUGACAAGAGUUGUUUACAUUUUUGAUUAGUUUUCUUCCUGCUAUGCUGUUUGCAUAAUUCCAAGUAUGGCAGUUAAUUUCUAAUUAUGAAGGCUGCUCAUUGCUUUAUUUAGAAAAUAAAUAGUGCCCUUGGAUUCA
rnacentral:lncRNA from 13 species